rnacentral:rRNA from 1 species
GUAGGUGGCAAGCGUUGUCCGGAAUUAUUGGGGCGUAAAGCGCGCGCAGGCGGUUCUUUAAGUCUGAUGUGAAAGCCCACGGGCUCAACCGUGGAGGGUCAUUGGAAACUGGAGAACUUGAGUACAGAAGAGGAAAGCGGAAUUCCACGUGUAGCGGUGAAAUGCGUAGAGAUGUGGAGGAACACCAGUGGCGAAGGCGGCGUUUCUGGUCUGUAACUGACGCUGAGGCGCGAAAGCGUGGGGAGCAAACAGGAUUAGAUACCCUGGUAGUCCACGCCGUAAACGAUGAGUGCUAAGUGUUAGGGGGUUUCCGCCCCUUAGUGCUGCAGCUAACGCAUUAAGCACUCCGCCUGGGGAGUACGGCCGCAAAGGCUGA